rnacentral:rRNA from 1 species
CCUACGGGUGGCAGCAGUGAGGAAUAUUGGUCAAUGGGCGCGAGCCUGAACCAGCCAAGUCGCGUGAGGGAAGACGGUCCUAUGGAUUGUAAACCUCUUUUGUCGGGGAGCAAAAGACGCCACGCGUGGCGUUCCGAGAGUACCCGAAGAAAAAGCAUCGGCUAACUCCGUGCCAGCAGCCGCGGUAAUACGGAGGAUGCGAGCGUUCUCCGGAUUUCUUGGGUUUAAAGGGUGCGCAGGCGGAAGAUCAAGUCAGCGGUAAAAUUGAGAGGCUCAACCUCUUCGAGCCGUUGAAACUGGUUUUCUUGCGUGAGCGAGACGUAUGCGGCCUGCGUGGUGUAGCGGUCACAUGCAUAGCUAUCACGC